rnacentral:rRNA from 1 species
AUUGAACGCUGGCGGCAGGCUUAACACAUGCAAGUCGAACGAGUGGCGGACGGGUGAGUAAUGCUUGGGAAUCUAGCUUAUGGAGGGGGAUAACUACGGGAAACUGUAGCUAAUACCGCGUACCAUAGGAUGAACCCAUAUGGGAUUAGCUAGUUGGUGAGGUAAUGGCUCACCAAGGCCACGAUCCCUAGCUGGUCUGAGAGGAUUAUCGGCCACACUGGGACUGAGACACGGCCCAGACUCCUACGGGAGGCAGCAGUGGGGAAUAUGGCACAAUGGGCGCAAGCCUGAUGCAGCCAUGCCGCGUGUAGGAAGAAGGCCCUAGGGUUGUAAAGUACUUUCAGUCGGGAGGCGUUACCGACAGAAGAAGCACCGGCUAAGUCCGGGCCAGCCGCCGCGGUAAUAC